rnacentral:rRNA from 1 species
GAUGAACGCUGGCGGCGUGCCUAAUACAUGCAAGUCGAGCGAACAGAUGAGAAGCUUGCUUCUCUGAUGUUAGCGGCGGACGGGUGAGUAACACGUGGGUAACCUACCUAUAAGACUGGGAUAACUCCGGGAAACCGGGGCUAAUACCGGCUAAUAUUUUGAACCGCAUGGUUCAAUAGUGAAAGACGGUUUCGGCUGUCACUUAUAGAUGGACCCGCGCCGUAUUAGCUAGUUGGUAAGGUAACGGCUUACCAAGGCGACUAUACGUAGCCGACCUGAGAGGGUGAUCGGCCACACCGGAACUGAGACACGGUCCAGACUCCUACGGUAGGCAGCGGUGGGGAAUCUGCCGCAAUGGGCGAAAGCCUGACGAGGCAACGCCGCGUGAGUGAUGAAGGUCUUCGGAUCGUAAAACUCUGUUGUUAGGGAAGAACAAAUUUGUUAGUAACUGAACAAGUCUUGACGGUACCUAACCAGAAAGCCACGGCUAACUACGUGCCAGCCGCCGCAGUAA